GUUUAUGCAUUUCAUAGUUUUAAUGGUAACAAAUCACUUUACAAAUAUUUUGUUAUUACAACAAGCAGAUGCUUUUAUUUCUACAUUACAGAUCAAGAAACUGAAGCAGAUCUUAGAGGUUAAGAGACUUAUUUAAGGUCACCCAGCUGAAAUAGACAACCACUCCAACCUUCAUCAGCCACCACCUUGAUUAGCAGCAGCCAUUAACAUCAAGGCAAGACUCUCCACCAGCAAACCGAUUCUAAUUUGCUGAAGGCUCAGAUGAUGAUUAGCGGUUUUUUCAGGAAUAAGUUAAUUUGUAUGCCAUGAUAGACUUAAGAAGCUACAGAAGAAAACCAUAAAUCAGCAUCCCAGAAGGUACAACACUAGUGAACAGUGUAGUGAAGAGUAAAAGAAUAUUGGAAGUGGGAGAAACCUUAUCAAGGAGGACUUCCUGGAGGAAAGGAAUUUCAAAGCAAUUCUAAAUAAGCUCAUUUUACAGAUGAGGAAACUGAGGU